UACGUAGGUGGCAAGCGUUGUCCGGAUUUACUGGGCGUAAAGCGUGCGCAGGCGGUUUGUUAAGACAGAUGUGAAAUCCCCGGGCUUAACCUGGGAACUGCAUUUGUGACUGGCAAGCUAGAGUAUGGCAGAGGGGGGUAGAAUUCCACGUGUAGCAGUGAAAUGCGUAGAGAUGUGGAGGAAUACCGAUGGCGAAGGCAGCCCCCUGGGCCAAUACUGACGCUCAUGCACGAAAGCGUGGGGAGCAAACAGG
rnacentral:rRNA from 1 species